GACGAACGCUGGCGGCGUGCUUAACACAUGCAAGUCGAACGGAAAGGCCCUGCUUUUGGGGGGUGCUCGAGGGGCGAACGGGUGAGUAACACGUGAGUAACCUGCCCCUGACUUUGGGAUAACUUCAGGAAACUGGGGCUAAUACCGGAUAGGAGCUCCUGCUGCAUGGUGGGGGUUGGAAAGUUUCGGCGGUUGGGGAUGGACUCGCGGCUUAUGAGCUUGUUGGUGGGGUAGUGGAUUAGCAAGGCUUUGACGGGUAGCCGGGCUGAGAGGGUGACCGGCCCAGCUGCGCCUGGACUGCGACCCGGCCCCGACUCGGACGCGACGGUGCAGAGUGUAACACAGGAGGCGGGGCCCUGGUGUGAUCCAGCAGCGUGCGGUGUGUCGUCAAGCGGGUUGUGAUCCAAUUUCGCCUGUGACGAGGCGUGAAUGACGGUACUGGGUAAAGAAGCACCGGCUAACUACGUG
rnacentral:rRNA from 1 species